rnacentral:rRNA from 1 species
UACAGAGGGUGCGAGCGUUAAUCGGAAUUACUGGGCGUAAAGCGUGCGUAGACGGCUAUCUAAGUCGGGUGUGAAAGCCCCGGGCUCAACCUGGGAAUUGCAUUCGAGACUGAAUAGCUAGGGUACGGUAGAGGGAAGCGGAAUUUCCGGUGUAGCGGUGAAAUGCGUAGAUAUCGGAAGGAACAUCAGUGGCGAAAGCGGCUUCCUGGACCAGCACCGACGUUCAGGCACGAAGGCGUGGGGAGCAAACAGG